AUUGAACGCUGGCGGCAGGCCUAACACAUGCAAGUCGAGCGAGCGGCGGACGGGUGAGUAAUGUAUGGGGACUGCCCGAUAGAGGGGGAGAACUACUGGAAACGGUGGAUAAUACCGCAUACUGUCGGAUAACCCAUAUGGGAUUAGCUAGUAGGUCAGGUAAUGGUUUACCUGGGCGACGAUCCCUAGCUGGGCUGAGAGGCUGUUCAGCCACACUGUGACUGAGACACGGCCCAGAUGCCUACGGAGGCAGCAGUGGGGAAUAUGGCACAAUGGGCGCAAGCCUGAUGCAGCCAUGCCGCGUGUCUGAAGAAGGCCCUAGGGGUGUAAAGGACUUUCAGUCGGGAGGCGUUACCGACAGAAGAAGCACAGGCUAACUCCGUGCCAGCAGCCGCGGUAAUUC
rnacentral:rRNA from 1 species